GAGUUUGAUCCUGGCUCAGAUUGAACGCUGGCGGCAGGCCUAACACAUGCAAGUCGAGCGGUAGAGAGAAGCUUGCUUCUCUUGAGAGGCGGCGGACGGGUGAGUAAUGCCUAGGAAUCUGCCUGGUAGUGGGGGAUAACCGCUCGGAAACGGACGCUAAUACCGCAUACGUCCUACGGGAGAAAGCAGGGACCUUCGGGCCUUGCGCUAUCAAAUGAGCCUAGGUCGGAUUAGCUAGUUGGUGAGGUAAUGGCUCACCAAGGCGACGAUCCGUAACUGGUCUGAGAGGAUGAUCAGUCACACUGGAACUGAGACACGGUCCAGACUCCUACGGGAGGCAGCAGUGGGGAAUAUUGGACAAUGGGCGAAAGCCUGAUCCAGCCAUGCCGCGUGUGUGAAGAAGGUCUUCGGAUUGUAAAGCACUUUAAGUUGGGAGGAAGGGCAGUAAAUUAAUACUUUGCUGUUUUGACGUUACCGACAGAAUAAGCACCGGCUAACUCUGUGCCAGC
rnacentral:rRNA from 1 species